rnacentral:rRNA from 1 species
AGUGAACGCUGGCGGCGUGCCUAAUACAUGCAAGUCGAACGGAGUGGCGCACGGGUGAGUAAUGUAUAGCUAAUCUGCCCUACACUAGAGGACAACAGUUGGAAACGACUGCUACUACUCUCUAGUGAAGGAUGAGGCUAUAUUGUAUCAGCUAGUUGGUGAGGUAAAGGCUCACCAAGGCUAUGACGCAUAACUGGUCUGAGAGGAUGAUCAGUCACACUGGAAGUGAGGCACCGGCCAGACUUCUACGGGAAUCAGCAGUAGGGUAUAUUGCCCAAUGGGCGAGUCCCAGAAGCAGCAUCGCCGCGUGGAGGAUGAUAAGUUGCGGAGCGUAGACUCCUUUUGUUAGCGAAGCGUUACCUACAGAAUAAGCACCGGCUAACUCCGUGCCAGCAGCCGCGGUAAUUC